rnacentral:tRNA from 1 species
GGCCCUGUAGCUCAGUUGGUAGAGCAAUGGAUUGAAGCUCCAUGUGUCCUCAGUUCGAUUCUGAGUGGGGCCACCA